rnacentral:tRNA from 1 species
GCGAGAGUAGCUCAGUUGGUAGAGCACGACCUUGCCAACGUCAAUGUCGUGGGUUCGAACCCCAUCUCUCGCUCCA